CUCAUUAAGCUACCAUGGCAAUGCCGAAUGGAUGGAGGGAGAGAUUUGGGAGGGAGAGGAGGGAGGGAGGAAGAGAGAGACUGGGAGAGAGAGAGAGGGGGGAAGAGAGAGACAGAGACAGAGAGAGAGAAAGACAGAGAGAGACUGUGGAGGGUGGUAUAUGGUGGUAUAGGGUGGUAUAGGGUGGUAUAUGGUGGUAUAUGGUGAUAUAGGGUGGUAUAGGGUGGUAUAUGGUGGUAUAUGGUGGUAUAGGGUGGUAUAUGGGUGGUAUAUGGUGGUAUAGGGUGGUAUAUGGUGGUAUAGGGUGGUAUAGGGUGGUAUAUGGUGGUAUAGGGUGGUAUAGGGUGAUAUAGGGUGGUAUAGGGUGGUAUAUGGUGGUAUAUGGUGGUAUAGGGUGGUAUAUGGUGUUUUCGUGACCCCGAAGGAGGGAUUCAUCAAAGGUGUUGGUAACGCUUUUAAAUCCCAUUAACAUUAUUUAUAUCUUAGAUAUGACAGAUCCUUAGAACAUUCAUGUACAUUAUAAUAUGUAUGUAUAAAUAUGUUAAGCAUAUUAUGUACUCACAUUGGAUUUAUUCAGUGUGU
ensembl:lncRNA